rnacentral:rRNA from 1 species
UUAAGUUAUUAAGGGCGCACGGUGGAUGCCUUGGCACUAGAAGCCGAUGAAGGACGUUACUAACGACGAUAUGCUUUGGGGAGCUGUAAGUAAGCUUUGAUCCAGAGAUUUCCGAAUGGGGAAACCCAGCAUGAGUUAUGUCAUGUUAUCGAUAUGUGAAUACAUAGCAUAUCAGAAGGCACACCCGGAGAACUGAAACAUCUUAGUACCCGGAGGAAGAGAAAGAAAAUUCGAUUCCCUUAGUAGCGGCGAGCGAAACGGGAAGAGCCCAAACCAACAAGCUUGCUUGUUGGGGUUGUAGGACACUCUAUACGGAGUUACAAAGGACGACAUUAGACGAAUCAUCUGGAAAGAUGAAUCAAAGAAGGUAAUAAUCCUGUAGUCGAAAAUGUUGUCUCUCUUGAGUGGAUCCUGAGUACGACGGAGCACGUGAAAUUCCGUCGGAAUCUGGGAGGACCAUCUCCUAAGGCUAAAUACUCUCUAGUGACCGAUAGUGAACCAGUACCGUGAGGGAAAGGUGAAAAGCACCCCGGAAGGGGAGUGAAAUAGAACCUGAAACCGUGUGCUUACAAGUAGUCAGAGCCCGUUAAUGGGUGAUGGCGUGCCUUUUGUAGAAUGAACCGGCGAGUUACGAUUUGAUGCAAGGUUAAGCAGUAAAUGUGGAGCCGUAGCGAAAGCGAGUCUGAAUAGGGCGUUUAGUAUUUGGUCGUAGACCCGAAACCAGGUGAUCUACCCUUGGUCAGGUUGAAGUUCAGGUAACACUGAAUGGAGGACCGAACCGACUUACGUUGAAAAGUGAGCGGAUGAACUGAGGGUAGCGGAGAAAUUCCAAUCGAACCUGGAGAUAGCUGGUUCUCUCCGAAAUAGCUUUAGGGCUAGCCUCAAGUGAUGAUUAUUGGAGGUAGAGCACUGUUUGGACGAGGGGCCCCUCUCGGGUUACCGAAUUCAGACAAACUCCGAAUGCCAAUUAAUUUAACUUGGGAGUCAGAACAUGGGUGAUAAGGUCCGUGUUCGAAAGGGAAACAGCCCAGACCACCAGCUAAGGUCCCAAAAUAUAUGUUAAGUGGAAAAGGAUGUGGCGUUGCCCAGACAACUAGGAUGUUGGCUUAGAAGCAGCCAUCAUUUAAAGAGUGCGUAAUAGCUCACUAGUCGAGUGACACUGCGCCGAAAAUGUACCGGGGCUAAACAUAUUACCGAAGCUGUGGAUUGUCCUUUGGACAAUGGUAGGAGAGCGUUCUAAGGGCGUUGAAGCAUGAUCGUAAGGACAUGUGGAGCGCUUAGAAGUGAGAAUGCCGGUGUGAGUAGCGAAAGACGGGUGAGAAUCCCGUCCACCGAUUGACUAAGGUUUCCAGAGGAAGGCUCGUCCGCUCUGGGUUAGUCGGGUCCUAAGCUGAGGCCGACAGGCGUAGGCGAUGGAUAACAGGUUGAUAUUCCUGUACCACCUAUAAUCGUUUUAAUCGAUGGGGGGACGCAGUAGGAUAGGCGAAGCGUGCGAUUGGAUUGCACGUCUAAGCAGUAAGGCUGAGUAUUAGGCAAAUCCGGUACUCGUUAAGGCUGAGCUGUGAUGGGGAGAAGACAUUGUGUCUUCGAGUCGUUGAUUUCACACUGCCGAGAAAAGCCUCUAGAUAGAAAAUAGGUGCCCGUACCGCAAACCGACACAGGUAGUCAAGAUGAGAAUUCUAAGGUGAGCGAGCGAACUCUCGUUAAGGAACUCGGCAAAAUGACCCCGUAACUUCGGGAGAAGGGGUGCUCUUUAGGGUUAACGCCCAGAAGAGCCGCAGUGAAUAGGCCCAAGCGACUGUUUAUCAAAAACACAGGUCUCUGCUAAACCGUGAGGUGAUGUAUAGGGGCUGACGCCUGCCCGGUGCUGGAAGGUUAAGAGGAGUGGUUAGCUUCUGCGAAGCUACGAAUCGAAGCCCCAGUAAACGGCGGCCGUAACUAUAACGGUCCUAAGGUAGCGAAAUUCCUUGUCGGGUAAGUUCCGACCCGCACGAAAGGCGUAACGAUUUGGGCACUGUCUCAACGAGAGACUCGGUGAAAUCAUAGUACCUGUGAAGAUGCAGGUUACCCGCGACAGGACGGAAAGACCCCGUGGAGCUUUACUGUAGCCUGAUAUUGAAAUUCGGCACAGCUUGUACAGGAUAGGUAGGAGCCUUUGAAACGUGAGCGCUAGCUUACGUGGAGGCGCUGGUGGGAUACUACCCUAGCUGUGUUGGCUUUCUAACCCGCACCACUUAUCGUGGUGGGAGACAGUGUCAGGCGGGCAGUUUGACUGGGGCGGUCGCCUCCUAAAAGGUAACGGAGGCGCUCAAAGGUUCCCUCAGAAUGGUUGGAAAUCAUUCAUAGAGUGUAAAGGCAUAAGGGAGCUUGACUGCGAGACCUACAAGUCGAGCAGGGUCGAAAGACGGACUUAGUGAUCCGGUGGUUCCGCAUGGAAGGGCCAUCGCUCAACGGAUAAAAGCUACCCCGGGGAUAACAGGCUUAUCUCCCCCAAGAGUUCACAUCGACGGGGAGGUUUGGCACCUCGAUGUCGGCUCAUCGCAUCCUGGGGCUGUAGUCGGUCCCAAGGGUUGGGCUGUUCGCCCAUUAAAGCGGUACGCGAGCUGGGUUCAGAACGUCGUGAGACAGUUCGGUCCCUAUCCGUCGUGGGCGUAGGAAAUUUGAGAGGAGCUGUCCUUAGUACGAGAGGACCGGGAUGGACAUACCUCUGGUGUACCAGUUGUCGUGCCAACGGCAUAGCUGGGUAGCUAUGUGUGGACGGGAUAAGUGCUGAAAGCAUCUAAGCAUGAAGCCCCCCUCAAGAUGAGAUUUCCCAACUUCGGUUAUAAGAUCCCUCAAAGAUGAUGAGGUUAAUAGGUUCGAGGUGGAAGCAUGGUGACAUGUGGAGCUGACGAAUACUAAUCGAUCGAAGACUUAAUCAA